AGUGAACGCUGGCGGUAGGCCUAACACAUGCAAGUCGAACGGCAGCACAGUAAGAGCUUGCUCGUACGGGUGGCGAGUGGCGGACGGGUGAGGAAUACAUCGGAAUCUACUUUUUCGUGGGGGAUAACGUAGGGAAACUUACGCUAAUACCGCAUACGACCUACGGGUGAAAGCAGGGGAUCUUCGGACCUUGCGCGAUUGAAUGAGCCGAUGUCGGAUUAGCUAGUUGGCGGGGUAAAGGCCCACCAUGGCGACGAUCCGUAGCUGGUCUGAGAGGAUGAUCAGCCACACUGGAACUGAGACACGGUCCAGACUCCUACGGGAGGCAGCAGUGGGGAAUAUUGGACAAUGGGCGCAAGCCUGAUCCAGCCAUACUGCGUGGGUGAAGAAGGCCUUCGGGUUGUAAAGCCCUUUUGUUGGGAAAGAAAAGCAGCAGGUUAAUACCCCGCUGUUCUGACGGUACCCAAAGAAUAAGCACCGGCUAACUUCGUG
rnacentral:rRNA from 1 species